CAUAGCUACUGGUCGGCCGGUCACUUAGGCUUUUAUAUAUAUGCUUUAUACCUCCUACCGAUUUAUAUCUUCUAGAUUCAGUUUAUUUACUGUCGUUGGUAGUGGUUGGAGGUGGGGUGGGAGAGACUGUUUGCUAACUCCUCGAAUAAGCUUGGUUUCCUUCCAGUAGUGAGGUGCCAAAGUUUUGUGUUUAGUCCAUGUAUGAAUGUAUCCUGGUAGAAAUGGAAGUGUUUUCCUUGUUGCAGAAACAGUGUGCAUCCAUUUACAGAUGUGUUUGUAGAGCCUGAAGGUGACAUCAAUUGUGA